GAUUGAGAAACAACGAACAAAUGUUGGUGUAUUUACCAUGAUCGUAGACUCCACAAUUAAAGAAAGUGGUUAUUGUUCACAGCGGCUGAAGAGAAUUGUGGCUGUUGUCGACCAGUUCCUCGACGCUCAUCUAAACAUAAGAACAAAAUACAAUUCUGUAAUUUGGUUGAAAUUCUUCUUCCCUUGAACUACAUUACUAGUGAAUAAAAUGUUCAAUAAACCUUCUAAUCAAGAAUGGACAAUAUACGUACUUUAAUGAAAUCCUCUGAACGAUGAUCAAGAAUGAACAGCAUACUUUAAUGAAGUCCUCUGAAGAAUGCUCAAGAAUGAACAAUUUACUUUAAUGAAGACCUCUGAACAAUGAUCAAGAAUGGGCAGUGUACUUUAAUGAAGACCUCUGAACAAUGAUCAAGAAUGAACAGUAUACUUUAAUGAAGUCCUCUGAAGAAUGCUCAAGAAUGAACAAUUUACUUUAACGAAGACCUCUGAACAAUGAUCAAGAAUGGACAAUAUACAUUAAUGAACUCUUCUGAAAAAUGAUCAAGAAUGAACAAUACACUUUGAUGAAAUUGAAAAA